rnacentral:tRNA from 1 species
GGCUCCAUAGUGGUUAGUACGUCUGCUUUACAUGCAGAAGGUCCUGAGUUCAGGCCCCACGUGGAGCCA